GAUGAACGCUGGCGGCGUGCCUAAUACAUGCAAGUCGUGCGGAAAGGCCACUUCGGUGGUACUCGAGCGGCGGACGGCAGAGUAACGCGUAGGAACAUACCCCAAACUGAGGCAUAACUGCUCGAAAGAGCAGCUAAUACCGCAUGUGAUCUUCGGAUUAAAGCUUCGGCGGUUUGGGAAUGGCCUGCGUCCGAUUAGCUAGUUGGUGAGGUAAAUGCUCACCAAGGCUUCGAUCGGUAGCUGGUCUGAGAGGAUGAUCAGCCUGACUGGAACUGAGAACGGCCCAGACUCCUACGGGAGGCAGCAGUAGGGAAUUUUCCACAAUGGGCGAAAGCCUGAUGGAGCAACGCCGCGUGCAGGAUGAAUGCCUUCGGGUUGUAAACUGCUUUUAUUAGUGAAGAAUAUGACGGUAAC
rnacentral:rRNA from 1 species